UACAUCUAAUGUGGCGUUUGCAGAACACAAAAAUUGAACUUUGAAAGGCAUGGAUCCCAGUAAAGCCCAAUGAUAUCUCCUACCUUCAAUUUCCUCCUAGCCACAAAAUCCUCGUGCCAUUUUCCAUUGAAAACAUAACUCUUAGACGAAGGCCACAGCGCUCAGCGUCGCCAUGGACGACGUACCCUCUUCUUCUUGUGCGUUGGAGGCCACUAUGGAAUUGUGAGAAAUGGAAGUAGCAGUAGCGUAUUCGUCUUUUUGCGUGCUUUUUCUCAUAUUAUUGAAAGAAACCCAUGAUUUAUCAAACAGCGUCAGUGCCGUCGAAACCUCUUUUUGUUCUUGUUUGGUGCGAAACUCAAAAGAAAGCGUUUGGGUGUUUUGGUUUUCCAGAGUUUGUAGCAGAUUCUGAGUGCCGUCGUCGUCAGAUCAGCUCUCUCAAACCUUGCUCUGUGCAGAUCAGCAAUGGCUGAGCAUGGUGGGUCCGUGGAGGUGUCCUUGCUCCGUGUAGAUCGGCGGUGGCUGAGCAUGGUGGGUCCGUAGGGGUGCUGUGGUUUGGGUUCGUGCGUUUGGGUCCGUGGAUUUGGUCCGUGGAAUGGGUCUAGGAUGUUCACGAUAGGUUUCAAACUGAAUCCCAUUAUGGGCUGCUGGAAGCUUUAAUGAGUGUUUCUUGUUAUAACUUGCAUCAUGUAAAGCAUGUGUAGUCAUGAAUGAUGAACCAAAUAUUUUACCAAUUUUAUCUCAUAUAAGGUCAAUUACUCCAGUUCCAGUUAAAGAGGUAACUUUUGUCAACUUCAAUAUAGUUGUUUGGAAGAAAAUAGAAAUUUUAAUGAUUUUUUCAGUUUUUUUGGCGGCAUCCCCAAACAAAACUGCAGAACUUUUGUUGUAUCAUCCUAUUCUGCGUGUGAUUGACUGUGUAGUUGUUUAUACACUAUACUAAAAGGGAAUAGUAUGAUGUGUGUUUACAGUAGUGGUCAAUCGUAAUGCACUCUGAUUUCUCUCAAGCUCUUGAUAACUUUUUCUUGGCUCUAUUGAUUAUUGAAGGACUCCAAAGGGCUUUCUGAGGCAGAAAGAGACCUGAAAAAGCUGAAAGAUUAUGCUGCACUUGGACAAGACACUUCAAAGUACAGUCACCUCGCUAGCUGCUCGUGGCCGUGGGAAAUCUGCUGCACUUGGUUUAGCAAUUGCUGGAGCUAUUGCUGCAGGGUAAUCUAAUAUCUUUGCAACUGCACCCAGUCUGGAAAACUUGAAAACCUUGCUUGAAUUUAUUUGCAAGGGUUUUGAUACUCUUGUAAGGAACAUUUAGAUUUUGAUGUGGUGAAAAGUAAUAAUCCUGAAUUCAAGAAAGCAACUGCGCGGAUCAAUAUUUGCAAGCAACACAGACAAACAAUUCAGGUUAAUUGACUUAAAUGGAUUUUUAUUGUUUAAUGUGACAUUAUCAAUUUUUUCUCUGUAUGGGUAUAUUGUAGGUAUGUGAAAAUGGUUUUACAUAAUGAUGGUCCUUAUAAUGUUAUAUGCAACAACUUAUUCAAAAAAUGUUAGAUGCAACACUUGGCCAGCUGCAUAUGCUAAUGCAGCUGAUCAUCUGAAAUAGAUUGUGCCAUAUGUAAGCGGUCGUAGUUUCUGCCUUUUAAUGUAAUUUUAUGGUACAAGUCACAAUAAUCUACAUUCAGAAGAUAUUGGUCUCGUGCAUGGGGUUUGAUAAUUUUUGUCAUCACUAGAUUUCAGGCUGAGAUUACUAGAUUAUUGAAUCUUAGCUUUUGUGAAAUGGAGUAUAAGCUUGUCAUGAGGUUGGUAUUUGAAAAUUCACCCUUUUCAGAUGUGUGUUCAUUUUCAAAUAUGCUCAUGCUACUCAUAAUUUUUCAGCAUCCUGGAUCCAAAGAUCAAUUUCAUGGAGCUGGAAUCUACACUUUCCACAUCAGAUGGAUUUUUGAGUUCAUUUAAAACAUGUUGUCACCACAUGAUAUGAAGUACUGGAAGCUUAUACCAACAAUCAUGCUGGCUUUCAUUUGGUAAGAUCUCUAGAAAGUAGUUAGGAGCAACUAUAUGCAUUAAUGUUGUCCAUUUAUCUAUGUUAGUGGCUUUGUCUUUCAGUAAUUGUUGGCAAUUUCCAGUAUAGCCAAUCACAAACAAUCCAUGGUAUCCAAGCCAAUGACAAAUUUCUGUCUUCCUUGAUACUUUUGAAGUGAUGGAAAAAGUAAUAUAUGCUUCUGUGACCUAUACAUAAGAAGCUUUAAAAACACGUUGCCUCAUGGGAUUAUCUGUUCUUUCCAUCUUUUCAAGCGUCAUUCUUCUUUUUCUAUUUAGACUGUUCUUUAUUUUCUGAUAGUACAAAGUUUUCCUUAUUACUGAUUUGGAGAAUCAUUCAAAGUUAUUAAUACCUCACCAUACUGGCCUGUAUGGCCAAAAUUUCUUGUAGUAAUCUGGUAUACUUACCUCCCUUGAUAUUUAUCAGUUUACAUACAGGACUGCUUUGGUCUAUAUUGACUAUUUUGGCCUGUGCUGGAAAUUUGGGCUGGUAAACCCAAUUCAGCCCAGUACCAACCUUGCCUUCUUCCUCUGCUCUCCUCCUCUUCCUCUUGGCCUCUUCUUCUUCUUCUCUAAGUUUCUUGGUUUCUCCAUCCCACCUGACAACCUAUGUGGCAACCUUUUUUACUUUCUUACCUUUUGUUUUCCUUAGGUCAAUGUCAGGUGGUUAGGUUAGUGUAAAAUUUACCUGAGUUAGGUUAGUUUAAAGUUUACUCUGGUUUCCCAUUCCACAUGAAUUUACCUUGGUAGUUUUUUUUUAAAAUUUUUUUUUUAUGAAGGGUGGUAGAGAACAUAUAUUUAUUUAAGAAUAUAAAAGUGUGUGUGUAUAUUAAGUUUAUAAAUAAUUAUGUAUAAAUAUAAAAAUAGCAGUAAUCCUAAAAUUGUACACUAGUACUUCAUUUUCUUGACCAAUUUGAGGCGACUACUGGUUUGGUAUUGACAACAUUAGAAUCAUUACCUAUCAUAUAAUCAUCCACAUAUUUUUUAAUUCAAUGUGUAAUAAUGACUUUCAACUCAUUAGGCCAUUAAAAAAUCACUCAUACAAUUAAAAAUUUGUUUCUGAUAACUUUGCUUGAAAUAGAAUAACACGUGUGUGUGAGCUUAUUUUGUGUGCAAAAAAUAUAGAUGCAUAGUGAAGUUUCCAAAAACUGUACAUAAGCCACUCUCUCCACUGCCCAUAUCACCACCUCCCAAGCCUCCAGUAGAUUGGUCCUUGCUCAAUACUAAUUAUACUCUCUAUUGGCUCUCUUUUUGUGGCAUCAGUUUAUCAAAAUCUCCAGAUGGUGAAGUCUGAUUUAUACCAUGUAUAUGAAUGGUGGCUUAAUCCUUUGGCCAGUUUGAUAAUUGUUGAUCCAUAAUAUUACAAAUUGUGAAAAUUUUCUUUGUAAACCUCUACCACUGCUUAUGUUGCUAAUCAGUGUUUUGCUUUGCAUUUUUGAUCUUGUUCUAAUUCUUGCACAUCUGUAUUUUGAAGAGAAACUUCCAGUUACAUUGUCAUAUGCACAGGCUUCUGUUUUGCUCUGCAUUGGAUUGCAAGGCCAUAGCUUUUCUUAUCUCGAGGUUUGUUUCUCAACUUGGAUGAUGUAGUCAUUCAUUGAAUAUACGAUUCUCCUAAGCAUAUUGUUAUGCAUGAAUCUUGCCCUACUACUCUUGUCUCACCUUACACGUCAAACCUUACACACUUGUUCGGAUAUUCAAGUAGGAGACACUCUUCUAUAAGAUUGGAUUUUUCGACAUCUUGGUUUUUUCUUUUAUUCUUAUCAGCAUCUAUGGAUGGAGACAUGUUUGCUUAAACUCUUAUUUUACAGGGACAGAUGAAGCUAGAAAGAGAAUAAAUAAUGUCACUGUUUAUAAAAGUUAUGAAAAUGUUCUACAAAUAUUUGCUCAGUAUUUCUUCCAAGGAGGUUGAGUCAACGCUGCUUUGACUGAAAGAAGUAAGUUGAGCGACUGAGGAAGUAUUUCCAUGAUUUAGAACGUGAAUGUGCAGUUCCUGCUUUCCCAUCUAUCUAUCUAUAAUUUAUGUUAUUCGUAAGUUGGCCAAAAUGACCAAGUAUCACUAUUUGGCAAAAUAUGUAGGAUCUACCACUAUUUGCAAAAUAAUUAGGGAUCUACCAUUUUUUUAAACUCGUGUUUGCCAUGUAACUCAAGUUUCACAAGGUACGUCUCCUUUGUUGCCCUCUCAUCCUUACUAGAGAGCUCAUGCCAGGUUCUGGGCUGAUUUUGUUGAUAACAAGGUUUAUUAUGUUUCAAGGAAGGUAUUGACCACAAAAGGAGAAGAGCUGGAGGCAGGCAAGA